CCUACGGGUGGCAGCAGUGAGGAAUAUUGGUCAAUGGGCGCGAGCCUGAACCAGCCAAGUAGCGUGAAGGAUGACUGCCCUACGGGUUGUAAACUUCUUUUAUAAAGGAAUAAAGUGAGGCACGUGUGCCUUUUUGUAUGUACUUUAUGAAUAAGGAUCGGCUAACUCCGUGCCAGCAGCCGCGGUAAUACGGAGGGUCCGAGCGUUAUCCGGAUUUAUUGGGUUUAAAGGGAGCGUAGGCUGGUUGUUAAGUGAGUUGUGAAAGUUUGCGGCUCAACCGUAAAACUGCAAUUGAUACUGGCAGGCUUGAGUGCGGGUGAGGUAGGCGGAAUUCGUGGUGUAGCGGUGAAAUGCUUAGAGAUCACGAAGAACUCUGAUUGCGAAGGCAGCCUACUAAACUGCUACUGACACUGAUGCUCGAAAGUGUGGGUAUCAAACAGGAUUAGAUACCCGUGUAGUC
rnacentral:rRNA from 1 species